rnacentral:rRNA from 1 species
UACGGGGGGGGCAAGCGUUGUUCGGAAUUACUGGGCGUAAAGGGCUCGUAGGCGGCCAACUAAGUCAGACGUGAAAUCCCUCGGCUUAACCGGGGAACUGCAUCUGAUACUGGAUGGCUUGAGAUUGGGAGAGGGAUGCGGAAUUCCAGGUGUAGCGGUGAAAUGCGUAGAUAUCUGGAGGAACACCGGUGGCGGAGGCGGCAUCCUGGACCAACACUGACGCUGAGGAGCGAAAGCCAGGGGAGCAAACGGG